rnacentral:rRNA from 1 species
CCUACGGGAGGCAGCAGUGAGGAAUAUUGGUCAAUGGGCGCGAGCCUGAACCAGCCAAGUAGCGUGAAGGAUGACUGCCCUACGGGUUGUAAACUUCUUUUAUAAAGGAAUAAAGUGAGGCACGUGUGCCUUUUUGUAUGUAUUUUAUGAAUAAGGAUCGGCUAACUCCGUGCCAGCAGCCGCGGUAAUACGGAGGAUCCGAGCGUUAUCCGGAUUUAUUGGGUUUAAAGGGAGCGUAGAUGGGUUGUUAAGUCAGUUGUGAAAGUUUGCGGCUCAACCGUAAAAUUGCAAUUGAUAAUGGCAGCCUUGAGUACAGUUGAGGUAGGCGGACUUCGUGUUGUAGCGGUUACAUGCUUA